AGUGGCAACUGAGGAGAUGCACAACUGCAUAUGAAAAUUCCGAUUGGAUGGAAUGUUGAUUGACAUUGGCUUUGCCCAGUCAAAAUCCAGCCCAGCCCAGCCCAGGUGGAUAACUUCCCUUAAUGAAAAUGAACGUAGCCUAGCGAACGGGUGACGUUUUAGGCCUAUCGUUCAGUAAAUUUGAAAGCAAUUAAGUAACUAAGCUGAAGGAAAAUGAAGAGGAGCUAUCCAUCUGGUAGCGAGAAGAAGAAGAAAAAAGAAGAAGAAGCAAAAAGAAAGAAAGACAGUGGAUCAUUGCUUAAAUUUCUAACAAAACAGACGGAUAAAGUGCCCCUACCAAAUGCUGAUGAAAACCUUCCAGCAACAUCCACAUCCAGUGGGAUAGUGGCCACUCAACCUGUUGGUUGUCAUGAAGAGCAGGAAGAGACACCAGAAGCACAUCGAGCACCCAUUCCAAGUUAUGAUACUGAUGACUUUCCAGCAACAUCCACCUACAGUGGGAUAGUGGCCACUCACCCUGUUGGUUGUCAUGAUGAGCAGGAAGAGACACCAGAGGCAUAUCGAGCAC